CCAGCCAGAAAAACUGAAACAACCACAACAAUUAAGAUGCUUCUAAAAUCAGAUGAUACAACAGCAAAAACUGUGGACAAUGAAAACACGACACCAAACAACAAAUCAUCAGGAGAUUCAACACAUGCGAUCCAGUGGUUCAUCAUUCCAGCUGUGGGCUUAGUCUCACUCUUG